ACUUAAAUUGAAGAGUUUGAUCAUGGCUCAGAUUGAACGCUGGCGGCAGGCCUAACACAUGCAAGUCGAGCGGUAGCACAGAGAGCUUGCUCUCGGGUGACGAGCGGCGGACGGGUGAGUAAUGUCUGGGAAACUGCCUGAUGGAGGGGGAUAACUACUGGAAACGGUAGCUAAUACCGCAUAAUGUCGCAAGACCAAAGUGGGGGACCUUCGGGCCUCAUGCCAUCAGAUGUGCCCAGAUGGGAUUAGCUAGUAGGUGGGGUAACGGCUCACCUAGGCGACGAUCCCUAGCUGGUCUGAGAGGAUGACCAGCCACACUGGAACUGAGACACGGUCCAGACUCCUACGGGAGGCAGCAGUGGGGAAUAUUGCACAAUGGGCGCAAGCCUGAUGCAGCCAUGCCGCGUGUGUGAAGAAGGCCU
rnacentral:rRNA from 1 species